GUGCCUCUCUGCACUGAGCACAGCGGGGUCUGUCUGUAGUAGAUGCUUGCCUUGGAGAGGCAGGAAGGUCCCGGCACAAAAGCUACAACUAAACCUGCACCGAUUUGAAAAAUCCCUCACAAUCAACGAGGUUCGUGAAGGUCCUGAGUCACUGACUCAGGGAGUUGCCAAAACCUUUUUGUAAUCCUGUGCUGUUAAACUAGAAAAUGCUUUUUUAAACCUAUUUACUGAGAUGAGUUUGCAUAGCUUGGGGUUUGUUUGGUAGGGGGAAUUUUGGUUAAUUCAUAGUGGGAAUAUAAAUGAUCUUGGCUUUGAACUGCAUUUCUCAGCUUUUUUCAUGUCAUUUGCUUUACUCCAGGGGAUAGAUCUCUCCAGCUGCCUUUCAUGACAUGGCCUGAAGCAGGGGUCUGAAGUGAUUUUUUUUUUUUUCUCUUCCCUUCUGGCAGUAAUCCUACAGAUACCACUGGUCUUAACUAGCACAGCCAGAGCUGAAGUUGCCAAGAACUCUGGAAAAAAAAAGGGAGGAAAACAAAGUCAACCGACUGCAUGCCAAGGAGGAGGCAGAAAAACAGGUACCUCUGGAGCCCUCUCCACGCGAUGCUAUGGAGGGACUUUUUUACCCUGUGGAGAAAUACCAGGGUUGUAAUUCCCUACGGAGAAAGCUGAAAGAAGAAGCUUUGACUCAACGCCCAGCUUUUAGAUGCCUAAACUGAGGCUUUUGUUUGGAGAACCUUUCCAUCUGGAUGAGUAGCGGGAACAGGAAAGCAUUUGAAGCUGGGAAAACUACCAUCCUGCUGCCUAUAAAGCACUGAUAGGAUUUUUAUGUGGAGCCCUAAAGAGAAUGACACGCAGUGCUUUUAUUUUGCCAAAUGCGAGAGCUCAGAUGUUUGCAAGCAAAACAAAAUAAGCUGAGGCAUUGAAAGCCCUUCCUGAAAUGUGCCUGGUGGCUGACGCCGUGGCACGUCCCCCAGCACAUGCAUUGUGCAGGCUCUGCCUCAUGUGGACCCCUGGGCACAGCAGCACCACUGCUGAGAUCCUGCUCAUGGCACCCCCUGCACAAAGAGGAAGGUAAUUAGCAGAGAAAUGACUAUUGGCGCAGCUAGAAAGUAGACAAGUAAUCCUUGGGGGUUUAGUUCAUUGCCUCCUUGUUUUCAAACCAGCGCCUAAUCUUCCCAGACCCCACUCCGUGGCUGCUCCUUUCUUCCUUUCUGUUCUCCUUCCCCCUUUUUGCAGGGACUAUGGCUAAUUCUGAUUCACUCCAUUUCUUUCUUCCCAAACAGCCACAGGGCAGCCUGGCUGUUGCCAGGGAUAUAGUAAAUGCAUGUGACACCGGGCCACCAACAACAAUCGAGAGAGUCACACUCAUUCCUGGUGUAAUGGCACUGCAAUCAGCACGGCCAGGCUGGGAGCUGGGCAGCCCAGCUAUGAACCUGGAUAAAGAGUUUUCUUUAAGGAAAGUGCUCUUAAAAAUAGCUUUCAGGGAGAAAUGUGCAGGUUUUACUUGUAAAAUGACUGUUGGCAAAGGGUUUGUUGCCAAACUCCAGUCAGAGCACCAGCGAGAGGUGGUAAACAUGCCAUUCUGACAAGGAAUUAGCAGGCAACAUAGCACUGGGGAAAAUAUUACGACUUUCUUCUUCCCUGACCUGAAAGAGCCUGUUAGGAGAUUAGGAAUCUCCAUCUCUCAAAGGUAUAGCUGUUUUACCAAAAUUUAAUCAAUGAAGAAUAAUAUUUUGGGAACAAGAGAAAACACCUCUGUAGGAUGUGGAGUGUUAGGAAUAGAUGGAAAGUUGCCUGUAUAAACAGCUCAGCAACUCUGGGAUAAAUUAUAGGAGCAUUUGUAUGCAUGAUUGCCCAUCUGUGUAAAACAAGACGUGCAGCCACAGACAGGAAUGAUGUGCAAGGCAGACGUGGGGCUGAUGUUAACUUGAUCCAGAACAGAAGAUCUGUCCCAUCACAUCUGAGUUUGACCCAAGGAAGUUUGGAUAAAUCUAAAUAAGUAAAUAAAUAGAGGAAGAGGCCUCAGUGAGAGGAAACUCAAGGUAUGCUAUCUACGAAUCUGUUUCUGGGUUUGGGGUUUAUUUAGACUCAAGUCAGAUUUUGGACUGUUAUUUCUCCACUUGAAGGUUUUUUGGCAGUUGCAGGAGGGCUGAAGGCUCAGAUCCAGCGUGUUCCUUCCAGCUGCAGGCCCAGAGCAGGCCACGGGCACUGGCAGGGGUGUGGCGAGCUGGAGGACUUCAAACCAGGGAUGCUGUCAAGAACUCUGCCUUCCACAGCUCCCCUCUCAAGCACCAGCUGCAAAAUGUCAACACCACCUUCCUCAGAGAACACAAUUAAUUAAACCAGGCUUAAUUAAUUAGUGUCAGUAAAGCAGAUGUAGCAGUUAUGGUGGAAGUAAACAAAUGUACAUAUUGUAAAUUAUUAUCUUCUCUGCAAAGGAUUUGGUCCGAAAUCCCUGUGGCCAUUUCACUCCUCCCCACGAUGCUACUGGGGAGGCCUCUGGGAAACAUGCAGAGAUAAACUGCUAAUUGAUGAGAAACUAAUGUACUUCUAUAGGUUUAUAUCUCAGAAAACAAUCAGCAAACAGACUUGUUUAUUAACCCCUUUGGACUUGAUGGUGAAAUACAAUCCUGAUAUUUAAUUUCCAUAUCAUGCAACAUCAUGUGCCACAAAUAAGUCAACUGUUUAAAGUCUUGGGAGUUUUAUUUGAAAUGUUUUACACUUGAAAAUCCAACUGAGGCUUUUGUAUCAUCUACCAGUGCUGUUCUUUGAUAGAGCAGGAGAAAAAGUAAGUGUUUCAUAUACAGGUAAUAAUCAACUGUGUGCUCACUGGAGCAGAUUUUGGUCCAGUUUUGCCCUACUGAGAGUGAGGAAAAAUGAUGCUAAACUUGGGCUGAUUACACUGAAUGUAGCCUGAUGUGAGUAAGGGAGAGGAUCAGAAUCCCACUGACCCAAUAUACCUCCCCUCAGGCAAAAGGGACACCUUUUAUAAUGUCAGUAGGUGCUGAUGCAAUGACAGCAUUCAUCCCUGGGUCAGAGGUUGAGAUCAAGGGAAAGAAAAGGGGAAAAAAAUUGGUGGGGUAAUGAAAGAACAGUAACUAGUGAUUGUGAAGGUAUUUAUUAUAUGUGUCUGUGCAAUUGGUGUUCUGCAAAGCUGAAUGUGAGUGUGAAAAAGCAGAUGUGGAGCCACUCCAGUCUGGAGCCUUUAGACUGUUGUAAAGGCUCUGCAGUAAAGGAAAUCUCUCAUGCCCUGUAGAUAUGAGGACGAUGCAAACUCAAUAUAAUGGGCACUGUAAUAGUGAAGCACACUUGGAAAAUGCAGAUAGAGAAGGGAUGCUUUACUAGGGUACAGUCAUCUCCCUAAUUCAUGCUGUAAAGAAGCCAUGAAGGGGGAAAAAUUCCCCCUUUCCCUGGUGAUGACUCAAUGGAUUAAUGUAGGCAGCAGCAUAUGGCCAGGGUGCUGUGAGAGGUAAGUUGCAGUCAGAGGCCACUGCUCUUCCUGCCACUUAGCCUGUGUGGUUCCCCUUUUCCCCCCCAGGAUAUUGAUAUCAAGUAGUCUCUGUGGAAACAGAAGUUUCUGUGGCCCACGCCAAGGUAUCCCCUUUCUUUGUUCAGGUGACAGCACUCCCUGUGCAAAGGACUGCCCAGUGACGGGCUGUGUAUGGACGCUGCUGCGGGGUACGGGCUGUUCCCACCAGGGACUGCAGGUGAGUGCAGGGCCCUGCUGGCAACUUUGUGGGCUUCCAGUUUGGUGUUACGUGCUCUGUGCUUGGG